rnacentral:rRNA from 1 species
GAUGAACGCUGGCGGCGUGCCUAAUACAUGCAAGUCGAGCGAACGGACGCGAAGUUCACUUCUCUGAUGUUACCGACGGACGGGUGAGUAACACGUGGACAACCUCCUUAUAUGACUGGGACAACUUCGGGUAACCGUAGUUCAUACCGGAUACUUUCUUGAACCGCAUGGUUCAAAAGUGAAAGAUGGUCUUGCUGUCACUUCUCGACGGAUCAGCUCGGCAUUAGCGAGAUGGUAAAGUAACGGCUUACCAAGGCAACGAUGCAUAGCAGGCCUGAGAGGGUGGUCGGCCAGACUGGGACGGAGGCACGGUCCAGACUGCGACGGGAGGCAGCAGUAUGGGAGCGUCCGCAAUGGGCGAAAUCCUGACGGAGGAACGCCGCGGGAGUGGUGAAGGUCUGCGGAGCGUAAAGCUCUGUUAGUAGGGAAGUACAUAUGUGUAAGAAGCUGUGCACAUCGUGACGGUACCUGAACAGGAAGCCACGGCUAACUACGUG